UGAAUAUAUCUUAGCUAGCAU
rnacentral:snRNA from 1 species